rnacentral:snRNA from 10 species
AUACUUACCUGGAUGGGGUCAAUUGGUGAUCAAUAAGACUUAUGGCCUAGGAUGGUGACCUCCAUUGUACUUUGGAGGGUGCCCACCUAAGGUCAGCCCAUGUGGUUAAACCUACAUCAUAAUUUUUUAUAACAGAGGCCUACAUUCGCUUGGCCUCUAC